CGAACCCACGAACCACGAGAUCAUGACCUGAACCGAAGUCAGGCGCUUUACUGACUGAGCCACUCGGGCACCCCGGGAACGUACUUUUUAAACAAAUAUAUGAAGAGUCCACUAUAUGCCCAGAAUUGUACAAAAAUACUUUCCCUAUAAAUAUUUAAAUGUAAUUUUAUCAACAUUUUUGCUGAAUGUAACAGUAAUAAAAUACUAGUAGUUACCAUGUGUUGAGUGCUUCCUAUGUGUUAGGAACAUGCUAAGAAGUCCACAUGCAUCAUCUCAUUAAAUCUCAAACAAUACAUGAGAUAGAGGCGAUCAUCUCCAUUCUCAUGAUGCAAAGAUAGAGGUGAGAGAGUGUUCACACCCAGCCACUUUCCCAAGGGUCUGCUGACUAUCAUAGUAGGGCAAAUCUCUAGAACUCCAAGCCCUGCCUAUGUCUCUCCCCAAGGUCCACAGGUCCUGGGUCUCAAACCUCCUUGCCAUUUCGCCACAGCUACCUUGCUGGCUUUUCUUCCUCUUGUCCUUCUCCUCCAUGACUCAUGGCGACAUAGGUUAACAACAAAUAUUUCUCAGCCUCCCAUGAGUUAAUGAACAGCUAAUAUUCCCAGAUAAUAGCAGCGUCUAAGAAACUGCCCACAGUGGUUUAAAGCAGUUGAUUAUCUUAAGGAGAUUCAAUACGGUAGUCUCCCCACCGACCCCUCAUCUGUGGUUUUGCUUUCCUUCAUUUCAGUUAUCAGUCGGCCGUGUUCUGGAAGCAGAUGAUCCUCCUCCUGGCAUCUUGUCAGAAGGUCAAUAGUUGCCCAUCCCUGCAUCACGGUGCCUGCAUUAUUCACCUCACUUCAUGCCAUCCCGUGGGUAUUUGAUCAUUCUGUAUCAUCGCAAGAAGAAAGGAAUCCAACAAGUGACCCGAGAAACAAGCAGUCAACUGUAGUCCACCUAAAAGAGUUCCCUAAUUAGCUAGUAGGAUUUUCAUACACAGCUGGCCGGACUAUUGAUUGUAAGGUCGUUUUGCAAUAUAUGUCAAAUACCUUGAAAAUACGUAUAUUCCUUUUGAUUAGCAAUUCCAUUCCUACAAAUUAAACCUAAGGCCAUAA